CCUACGGGAGGCAGCAGUAGGGAAUAUUGGACAAUGGACGCAAGUCUGAUCCAGCCAUCCCGCGUGAAGGAUUAAGGCCCUAUGGGUUGUAAACUUCUUUUCUUUGGGAAUAAAAAGCGGUAUUCAUAUCGCCUUGAAGGUACCAGAGGAAUAAGCACCGGCUAACUCCGUGCCAGCAGCCGCGGUAAUACGGAGGGUGCAAGCGUUAUCCGGAUUCACUGGGUUUAAAGGGUGCGUAGGUGGCUUUGUAAGUCAGCGGUGAAAGCCUGGAGCUCAACUCCAGAAUUGCCAUUGAUACUGCAGAGCUUGAAUCAAGUUGAGGUGGAUGGAAUAUUACAUGUAGCGGUGAAAUGCUUAGAUAUGUAAUAGAACACCGAUUGCGAAGGCAGUUCACUAAGCUUGUAUUGACACUGAGGCACGAAAGCGUGGGGAUCAAACAGGAUUAGAUACCCUGGUAGUCCACGCCCUAAACGAUGCAAACUCGACAUUAGCGAUAUACAGUUAGUGUCCAAGCGAAAGCGUUAAGUUUGCCACCNGGAGUACGACGCGAGUAGUAACGACGAAGAAGUAGACGCGNGAGAGAGCGACGACGACGACGAGGGAGGAGG
rnacentral:rRNA from 1 species